CUGGAUCGAGACGUCGAGCGCCGUCGUCGGUUCGUCGGCGAUGACGAGUUUCGGCGACGCUGCAAGCGCCAGCGCGAUCACGACACGCUGGCGCAUGCCGCCCGAGAACUGAUGCGGAU
rnacentral:sRNA from 1 species